rnacentral:rRNA from 1 species
AACGCGAAGAACCUUACCUGGGUUUGACAUGGAUCGGGAGUGCUCAGAGAUGGGUGUGCCUCUUUUGGGGUCGGUUCACAGGUGGUGCAUGGCUGUCGUCAGCUCGUGUCGUGAGAUGUUGGGUUAAGUCCCGCAACGAGCGCAACCCUCGUUCUAUGUUGUCAGCACGUGAUGGUGGGAACUCAUAGGAGACUGCCGGGGCCAACUCGGAGGAAGGUGGGGAUGACGUCAAAUCAUCAUGCCCCUUAUGUCUUGGGCUUCACGCAUGCUACAAUGGCCGGUACAAAGGGCUGCGAUACCGUAAGGUGGAGCGAAUCCCAAAAAGCCGGUCUCAGUUCGGAUUGAGGUCUGCAACUCGACCUCAUGAAGUCGGAGUCGCUAGUAAUCGCAAUCAGCA